UACGUAGGCAGCAAGCGUUGUUCGGAGUUACUGGGCGUAAAGGGUGUGUAGGCGGUUGUUUAAGUUUGGUGUGAAAUCUCCCGGCUCAACUGGGAGAGGUCCUUGGAUACUGGCGGACUUGAGGGAGGCAGAGGAGUAUGGAAUUCCCGGUGUAGUGGUGAUAUGCGUAGAUAUCGGGAGGAACACCAGUGGCGAAGGCGGUACUCUGGGCCUUACCUGACGCUGAGACGCGAAAGCGUGGGGAGCGAACCGG
rnacentral:rRNA from 1 species